AUGAACGCUAGCGACAGGCCUAACACAUGCAAGUCGAGGGGCAGCGCGGAGCAAGCUUGCUUGUUCUGGCGGCGACCGGCGCACGGGUGCGUAACAGGUGUGCAAUCUGUCCAUAAUCGGGGAAUAGCCCAGCGAAAGUUGGAUUAAUGCUCCAUGUGAGUAAGAGAGGCAUCUCUUUUAUUUGAAACGCAAGGAUUAUGGGUGAGCACGCUUCUGAUUAGGUAGUUGGUGAGGUAACGGCUCACCAAGCCGACGAUCAGUAGGGGUUCUGAGAGGAAGGUCCCCCACACUGGUACUGAGACACGGACCAGACUCCUACGGGAGGCAGCAGUGAGGAAUAUUGGUCAAUGGGCGAGAGCCUGAACCAGCCAAGUCGCGUGAGGGACGACGGUACUAAGUAUUGUAAACCUCUUUUGUCAGGGAACAAAGAGACCACGUGUGGUAAGAUGAGUGUACCUGAAGAAAAAGCAUCGGCUAACUCCGUG
rnacentral:rRNA from 1 species